GAACUGCUUUUGCAAUAAGUAAAGUCAAUGAAGAAAGUAAGAGGAUUGCAAAGGUUUCCCCGCUGAUUCUGCCAACAGAAAUGUUUUUAUUGUGCUGCUUUGGGCUUGGAAAAAAAACAGUGAAACAUUUCCAACUACAAUUUAAAGGAAUACAUGUCAUUUAUUUAAAACAUAAAUCAGCAAACAGAGAGACAUAAAAUUACUAGUGGACUGCUUCAAGUUCAGAAGCCACUGCCCUGGUAGAGGAGUUACCAACGAUCACACAUCCUAUAGGAAUCCAACUACAGUGGCCCUGAGCUGAAACAGCAUGCGUUCCAUGCUCCUUUGCAUAAUUUGCCUACUUCUUCUCAUAUUUUGUAAAUAUAAAAUCUACUUCCGGU
rnacentral:lncRNA from 1 species